rnacentral:tRNA from 1 species
GUUCCUGUAGCGCAAUGGAUAGCGCGUUGGACUUCUAAUCCAAAGGUCGUGGAUUCGAAUACCCCCUGGGAUG